rnacentral:rRNA from 1 species
AGCUGACCGGUACUAAUAGGCCAACAACUUACACCACACAGAUACAUACAAAACUCUGCUUGCGUCCACUAUGUGGUUCCCAACCAACAACCCCCUACACACGGGUUGUCACGGCACGGAACCACCACAACUGAAUAACAACACCACAAUGUUGUAACCACGAGUCUUCCCACCCCCGAAAAAACACCGGGCGGGCGGGUACAAGGGUUACGGCGGUCAUAGCGUGGGGGAAACGCCCGGUCCCAUUCCGAACCCGGAAGCUAAGACCCACAGCGCCGAUGGUACUGCACCCGGGAGGGUGUGGGAGAGUAGGUCACCGCCGGAC